rnacentral:rRNA from 1 species
CCUACGGGAGUCAGCAGUAGGGAAUAUUGCUCAAUGGGGGAAACCCUGAAGCAGCAACGCCGCGUGAGUGAAGAAGUAUUUCGGUACGUAAAGCUCUAUCAGCAGGGAAGAAAAUGACGGUACCUGACUAAGAAGCCCCGGCUAACUACGUGCCAGCAGCCGCGGUAAUACGUGGGGGGCAAGCGUUAUCCGGAUUUACUGGGUGUAAAGGGAGCGUAGACGGCAGCGCAAGUCUGGAGUGAAAUCCCAUGGCUUAACCAUGGAACUGCUUUGGAAACUGUGCAGCUAGAGUGCAGGAGAGGUAAGCGGAAUUCCUAGUGUAGCGGUGAAAUGCGUAGAUAUUAGGAGGAACACCAGUGGCGAAGGCGGCUUACUGGACUGUAACUGACGUUGAGGCUCGAAAGCGUGGGGAGCAAACAGGAUUAGAUACCCCUGUAGUC